GCGCAGAACCAUCCCUGGCAGGUGUUGGGGUUCAUCAUAGACCUUGGGUACAUAAGCCCUCGACACUUCGUCCUCGACACUAUAACAGACUCCAGCUACUACAGACAGGAUGAUUUUGCUGUUUUUGCUGUACCUCGCCUGCGGGGUCUUCGCUGCUGAUGUGGUGGACCCUAAGGACUGCACUGCCUUCCCCUGUAUGAUAUUCAGUGAUGACUUCGACUAUUUGGACCACGACGCCUGGGAGCAUGAGAUUACCAUGUCCGGUGGCGGGAAUUGGGAGUUCGAGGUUUACGUGAAUAACAGGAGCGUGAGUUACACCAGAAAUUCAACAUUGUUCAUUAAGCCGGGUCUCACAUCCGAGUGGAAAUCUGAAGAGUUCCUAACUAGUGGUGAUCUCAAUCUGUGGGGAAUGAACGGACGGGGAGACGUGUGCACCGGCAACUCCUACUACGGGUGUAACCGGGUCGGCACCGCCACUAACAUCGUCAACCCCGUCACAAGCGCCAGGCUGAGGACCUUGUCUGACUUUGCCUUCAGGUACGGCCGCAUCGAGAUUCGAGCCAAGAUGCCUAGCGGGGCCUGGUUGUGGCCAGCUAUGUGGUUGUUGCCUAGAAACUGGCCCUAUGGUCUAUGGCCAGCCAGUGGUGAGAUUGAUAUUGUCGAGUCUCGCGGUAACAGUGACUAUGGCACCCUAGGAAACCAGUAUGGAAGCACAACACUCCACUGGGGACCUUAUUGGCAACUAAACAUGUACCAAAAGACUCAUACUAAAUACCAAGCUCCCACUGGAUCCUAUGCUGACAAUUUCCACACAUGGAGAAUGGAUUGGACCAAGGACGACAUGAAGUUCUAUGUGGAUGAUGAGCUCAAGUUGACAGUGGACCCCUUCACUAACUUCUGGGACUUUGGUGGUUUUGGAGACUCCUAUGAUAACCCCUGGGCUGCUGGUGGUAAGAUGGCUCCUUUUGACCAGAAGUUCUUCUCAUCCAUCAGUUCUACAUUGUCUUGAACUUGGCUGUGGGCGGCACCAAUGGUUUCUUCCCAGAUGAUGUGCCGAGCAACCCACCCAAGCCCUGGAGCAACGUCUCCCCUCAAGCCUUGCUUGACUUCUGGAAUGGACAUUCCUCCUGGUUGCCCACCUGGGAACAAGGUGAAGGACGCAUCAGUGAGAAGGCAGCUCUUCAAGUGGAUUAUGUAAAGGUGUGGAAGAUGGAAAACAUCGACCAAUAACUUGUCUUCCCAAG
rnacentral:misc_RNA from 1 species